GUUUGUUUGUUUUUAUUUUGAGACUGUAACCUUGGCUGACCUGGAACUUACUGUAGCAUAUACAGACUGGCCUUUGCUUCCUCCCACCACAUGCACCACCGUAUCUGGUAAUUUUUAACUUUUUAAAAACAAGGUCUCAGCCAGGCAUACUGGUGCAUGCCUAUAAUUCCAGUACUUGGAAGGCAGAGACUGGAAGAUUUCUGAGCUCAAACAAGGCUGACUGAGAAGAAAAAGAAAUAGAAAUAGAAAGGGAAAAAGAAAGAGUGUGUCUCUUGUAAUCUACCCUGGCCUCAAACUUUCUUACUAGCUUGAGAAUCAUCUUGAACUUCUGAUCAUGAAGUGCUGGGGAUCCAAGCCAGGACUCUGUGCAUGCUAGACAGACUUGCUACCAACUGAGCUGCACUGGAGGACCGAGACCUAACUUUUUACCUAAGAGAUUUAGCUUUGUUUCUUUUCACAGAUCAUUACAUCUCUUUUUUAAAAGGGGUUUAUUUUUAUUUAUGUGUGUGUAGAUGUGUGUGUGUGUGCAGAUGUGUGUGCGUGCGUGUGUGUGUGUGUGUGUGCAGAUGUCCUUAGAGGCCAGAAGAAGGUGUCAGACUUAGAGUUGGAGGUACAGGUGGUUGGGAACUGAUGUGUUGGUAACCAGACUCACGUCCUCUGGGAGAGCAACAAGACUCUUAAUUGCUUUCUAGUCCUAUUCUUUUUCUUUUAAAAAAGAAUUAUUAAUGUGUUUGUGUAUGGUGUGUGUAUGUGUGUAUGGUGUGUAUGUGUAUGUGUGUGUGUAUGGUGUGUGUGUGGGAAUGGAAACAUGUAGAGAUUAGAGGACAGCUUUGUGGAUUGCCUCUGUGUUUCCAAGCUUUUCCUUGGGUUCCUGAGAUCAAACUCUGGUUGUCAAGUUUGGUGGCAAGUGCCUCACCAGUGAGCCACCUGCUGGCCUGUCACACUCUCUGUAAUAAUACACAAGCACUUGCACUGUAAAGAUUAAAAACACAGGGUAAGGAAAGUUAGGCUUUGUAGAAACUAUUCAAUUUGAGAAUUAAAUCUAUUUAGACCUAACUUUUGAGUUUGGGAAUUAUAAUUUGCUUACAGAUUAUGUUUGUGUUAGAGAACAGGGGAACACAAUCUCUCUUACUUCUCACAGAACACAAAGUCUGUGUGGCUCUACUGUUGGAUGUUCUUGAUGAAUGCCCUAUGGUAAGAAGCACAGAUGCUGAAAUGCUGGGCCCCUCCUGUGGUGGGCAUGUGGGAUGACAGUUCUCAGGAAAACAUCUACAACGAGCUUUGAGCACUUCACUCAGAAGGAAACUGGAUGACACUGUCCAGGGAGACCUCCGCAACCAGGAUGCAUCCCUCCACAAAGACAGGAACUCAGCACAGUUGAGUGACAAGCUCAUCUCAGCUGCCUACUGUGCAGCGUCAGCCUCAGUAAAGGGGUAAAGCUUCCUGCAGCCAUUGUCCUGCUUUCUUGGGGGGUCUUGUGCUGAGUGACAGGCUUAAUGUAGAUGAGUUCUGCUCUUGUGAACCCAUCAGAUUUCCCGACGGUCCUAACAGAGCCUGGCUGCUCCUCAUGGGGGUGGGAGCUCGGGGGUGGGGAAUGGUUUUCCUGCUUAUUUCCUUUUGUCUUAAAGGAAAUCUUUCAUUUACAAGAGAACAUUUUACCUGAGGGCAAAGAGCUCACCCAUUUUCUGCAUAACUUCUUUAUGAGACAGUUUGACUUUCUUCCCAGCUUUUAAUGCCUGUUUGGGAAUAAAACAAAACAAAAACCCAAAACCACAUACACAAUGGUCCUUUGUGGGUGCCAUGAGCUGCAGUCAGAAAGUAUUAAACCCUGCACCCCUUCCAGCAGGCACAGUUUCCGUUAUCCUACAGACAUCACAGCAAACACUGACACUUUUUUUUCUUUUUUCUUUUUUUGGUUUUUCGAGACAGGGUUUCUCUGUGUAGCUCUGGCUGUCCUAGAACUUGCACUGCAGACCAGGCUGGCCUUAAGAAAUCCAACUGCCCCUGCCUCCCAAGUGCUGCAAUCAAAGGUGCACCACCACUGCUGGCUGCCCAGUAGCUUUUUAAUGUUAUAGGAAAGCAGCAAUAUGGAGCAGUGGUUUGGCCUGUGUGUUAAAGGACUGGACCUAGUUCACUAUGCUGAGAAGUGCUGCAGUUUUUAAGAGGUGAGGCCUACUGGAAGGAAGAGAGGUGACUGGAUGUACACCUUUGAAAAGGACCCCAGCAUCGUGUCAUGAGCACCUUCCCCUGCCACAGUUCUUCACCAGGAUAUGCUCCUUAACACAGACCCCCAAACAACGGGGAACUGUCCAUGGACUGAAAUCUCCAAACUGUGAGCUAAGAUCAACCUGUUUACAUUUACUGUAGGUAUUUAAUUCCACUACAGGAAGCUAGCCCACGUGUUCUUUGAUCUUCUCAAGUGACAGUGAUCCUAUAAAAAUUAAAACAGCAUAUUUGUCUUAAUCCAAAAAUUCUCUACAGAUAUAUUUAAUCAUGUCAUUUGAAUAAAGACCUUUGAGACUAUUUUCUUUUUUUCUGAGAUAAGGUCUCACUAUAUAGCUCUGGCUGUCUUGAAACUUGCUGUGUACACCAGGCUGGCUUUGAACUCAUAGAGACCUGAUUGCCUCUGCCUUCUGAGUGCUGAGCUUAAAGGCAUGUACCACUAUGCCUGGCUGGGACUGUUUUCAUAAUACAAAUCAGUGGAAAAUGAAAUGGGAAAAAAUGUCCACCAGAAACGUCAUCACAGGAAAGUCAUUUUCUAACACAAGUGUACUUGGCCCUGGGUUCAGGCAGCAGUACCUCUAGGCAGGCUUGUCACUUCCACAUAGCCACAGGAGACCAGCUCUUGAGACAGACUUCCCAGGUGAUACUCAUCUGCGGUUGCAAAUGCUGUGCACUGCAUCAGGUCCUGUUUGGGGGAUGACCAUAGGGCUGAGGUUAGCGAAGGGCUCAAGCACCUCCAAUGGUAGCUGGACCCCACUAGGGAACUCUACUCUGCAAAGCCGGCACUGCAAAGUGUGUGAGAACCUCAGAGGUGUACAUAAAGAGUUGAACAAGGAUGAAGGGGAUGAGUUACAUGGAGGCAAAUCUCACCUCCAGUUAGAAAAGAACCCAGGUCUGCCAGCCGAAAAGGUGGACUAGGAAGCCCUGAAGGAGAAGCCACAUUACACAAGUGGUAGGAUCAAGCAUACACUGAAAAAGGGAAAGCCAGUUGAAAAAUAUUUCAGUUCUCCAGUUCAGGAAGUCUGUGGCUCCAUUCACAUCAGCAUAAGCAGCUAAUGUCACUAGCCUUGCAGGAGCAGAGAUUCCCUCAAUCCACAAAGGAUCCCGUGUUUUCUCUGGUAUGUAGUAACUAGUGGUCUGCAUAUCUGAGGGCGUGCCCUGACUCGUAGUACAGGACAGAGCAGAGUACAAGCUAUGCAGACAAUCACAUCGUGUGGAAGCAAUGCUCAGAGCUUCUCCAGACAGCAAAUGGCACAGCAGCCCAUCUGGAAGUUCACAUAUCAUUUUAGUUGGCUCAAACCACCUUUUUAGAUUUAUGAUUAAUUUAUGUGUCCCUGUGUGUGCCUGUGUUGAGUGUUUUGUGCACUGCGUUUGUGCAGAUUCCCACCACGGAAGCUAGAUGGUGUAGGAUGAUCCCCUGGGGCUGUAGUCACAGGCAGCUAUGAGCCACCAGAUGCUAGCUAGGGGCUGAGCCUGGGUCCUCAGCUAUAGCAGGAAGCACUCUUAACUAAGGAGCCAUCUCUUCAGCACCCAAACCAGCUUUUCAGAUAAAUGAGAGGGAGGAUGGGCAUGCCUGGCAUAGAUGCUGGUCUGACCCCCAGCACUGAAAAACAAAACUAACAGUCAGGAAGUACCGCAGAACAUUAUUCCCAGGAGCAGAUAUCACACCGCUUCCUGACAUGCACAUCUGUUUACGUAUGCACUGGGUAUCACUCACUAGGCAUGUAAAAUUAUUUUCUUUCUCUUUCUUUUUUGUGAAACAGGGUUUCUCUGUGUUCUGGAACUCAGUCUACAGACUAGACUGGCCUUAAACUUAGGGAUCCGCCUACCUCUGCCUCC
ensembl:processed_transcript Gm16153 predicted gene 16153